CGGGUGAGUAAUGUCUGGGAAACUGCCCGAUGGAGGGGGAUGACUACUGGAAACGGUAGCUAAUACCGCAUAAUGUCGCAAGACCAAAGAGGGGGACCUUAGGGCCUCUUGCCAUCGGAUGUGCCCAGAUGGGAUUAGCUAGUAGGUGGGGUAACGGCUCACCUAGGCGACGAUCCCUAGCUGGUCUGAGAGGAUGACCAGCCACACUGGAACUGAGACACGGUCCAG
rnacentral:rRNA from 1 species